rnacentral:rRNA from 1 species
AACGAACGCUGGCGGCAUGCCUAACACAUGCAAGUCGAACGAGACCUUCGGGUCUAGUGGCGCACGGGUGCGUACCGCGUGGGAACCUGCCCUUAGGUUCGGAAUAACUCCCCGAAAGGGGUGCUAAUACCGGAUAAGCUCUUAGGGCCAAAGAUUUAUCGCCUUUGGAUGGGCCCGCGUUGGAUUAGCUGGUUGGUAGGGUAAAAGCCUACCAAGGCGACGAUCCAUAGCUGGUCUGAGAGGAUGAUCAGCCACACUGGGACUGAGACACGGCCCAGACUCCUACGGGAGGCAGCAGUGGGGAAUAUUGGACAAUGGGCGAAAGCCUGAUCCAGCAAUGCCGCGUGAGUGAUGAAGGCCUUAGGGUUGUAAAGCUCUUUUACCCGGGAUGAUAAUGACAGUACCGGGAGAAUAAGCUCCGGCUAACUCCGUG